rnacentral:lncRNA from 1 species
CCGCCCAGGAGAGCUUGCUGUCCGUGGUACUCGUGUGGAGGAUCACUACCGUCCAGGAGAGAUUGCUUCUCACGGUGCUCGUGUGGAGGAUCUCUACCGCCCAGGAGAGAUUGCUUCUCGUGGUGCUCGUGUGGAGGAUCUCUACCGUCCAGGAGAGAUUGCUGCUCGUGGUGCUCGUAUGGAGGAUCUCUACCGUCCAGGAGACGUUGCUGCUCGUGAUGCUCGUAUGGAGGAUCCCUACCGUCAAGGAGGGCUAGAUGCUCGUGGUUCUUAUGGGGGGCUCUACCGUUCUGACCAGCGAGUCGCUCGUGCCGUGGAUCUCCCACAUUCUUAUGAGACCUCCAACCCUGCUUAUGCUGAAACCAGUCAGAGACCUCUCCCUGCUGCAAGGACGAAUGGACCAGGUGUGCCGGUUUCCUCACUCUAUUCCUUUGCUGGAGCGCCAGCAU